AGAAGUUUAGGUUAACUAAACCGGUAGCCUUCAAAGCCACAACCAGGGGUUAAAAGCCCCUAACUUCUG
rnacentral:tRNA from 1 species